AGAGUUUGAUCCUGGCUCAGAUUGAACGCUGGCGGCAUGCUUUACACAUGCAAGUCGAACGGCAACACGAGUGCUUGCACUUGGUGGCGAGUGGCGAACGGGUGAGUAAUACAUCGGAACGUGUCCUGAAGUGGGGGGAUAACGCAUCGAAAGAUGUGCUAAUACCGCAUAUUCUCUGAGGAGGAAAGUAGGGGAUCGAAAGACCUUAUGCUUUUGGAGCGGCCGAUGUCUGAUUAGCUAGUUGGUGAGGUAAAGGCUUACCAAGGCGACGAUCAGUAGUUGGUCUGAGAGGACGACCAGCCACACUGGGACUGAGACACGGCCCAGACUCCUACGGGAGGCAGCAGUGGGGAAUUUUGGACAAUGGGCGCAAGCCUGAUCCAGCAAUGCCGUGUGAGUGAAGAAGGCCUUCGGGUUGUAAAGCUCUUUCAGUCGAGAAGAAAAGGUUGUGACUAAUACUCACAAUCCAUGACGGUAUCGACAGAAGAAGCACCGGCUAACUACGUGCCAGCAGCCGCGGUAAUACGUAGGGUGCGAGCGUUAAUCGGAAUUACUGGGCGUAAAGGGUGCGCAGGCGGUUCUGUAAGUCAGAUGUGAAAUCCCCGGGCUUAACCUGGGAAUUGCGUUUGAAACUACAGGGCUAGAGUGUAGCAGAGGGGGGUGGAAUUCCUGUGUAGCAGUGAAAUGCGUAGAGAUAUGGAAGAACAUCGAUGGCGAAGGCAGCCCCCUGGGUUAACACUGACGCUCAGGCACGAAAGCGUGGGGAGCAAACAGGAUUAGAUACCCUAGUAGUCC
rnacentral:rRNA from 1 species